GGGAUUUCUAUCACUCUCGACAUGUAUUAUGCAAACCUUUCACCAUUCUAGAAGCCAAAUUAAUUUUUCGCAGUGAAUUUCCUUUCUGAAUGUUCUUUUUCUUGCUAAACUGAGAACUGCAGAGAUCUGGUUAAGAAAUGGCGCAUUGUAAGAAAUAAUAGCUAAAUUUUAAAAAUAUAUUAGUGAUACAAGCAGUGUUCU